UGCCUACGGGGGGCAGCAGUGGGGAAUAUUGCACAAUGGGGGGAACCCUGAUGCAGCGACGCCGCGUGGGUGAAGGAGUAUUUCGGUAUGUAAAGCCCUAUCAGCAGGGAAGAACAAUGACGGUACCUGACUAAGAAGCACCGGCUAAAUACGUGCCAGCAGCCGCGGUAAUACGUAUGGUGCAAGCGUUAUCCGGAUUUACUGGGUGUAAAGGGAGCGCAGGCGGCGCGUUAAGCCUGGCGUGAAAGCCCGCGGCCCAACCGCGGGACUGCAUUGGGAACUGGCAAACUGGAGUGUGUGAGAGG
rnacentral:rRNA from 1 species